GACGAACGCUGGCGGCGUGCCUAAUACAUGCAAGUCGAACGCAGUGGGGACGGGGGAGGAACACGUGGGUAACCUCCCAUCAGAGGGGAUAACACUUGGAAACAGGUGCUAAACCGAUACUGAUGGAUGGAACCGCGGUGCAUUAGCUAGUUGGUGAGGAAACGGCUCAACAAGGCCACGAUGCAUAGCCGAUCUGAGAGGGUGAUCCGCCACACGUGGACGGAGACACGUCCCAGACUCCUACGUGAGGCAGCAGGAGGGAAUCUUCGGCAAUGGACGAAAGUCUGACCGAGCAACGCCGCGUGAGUGAAGAAGGUUUUCGGAUCGUAAAACUCUGUUGUUAGAGAAGCGGUAUCUAACCAGAAAGCCACGGCUAACUACGUGCCAGCCGCCGCGGUAAUUC
rnacentral:rRNA from 1 species